ACUUAGCUCAGUUGGUAGAGCCUGAGAUUCUUAACCUCAGGGUUGUGGGUUCAAGUCCCACACUGGGCAAUG